GCACUGCUGAGUCCUACAAUAGGACGAAACGGCCGUCCAGUGC
rnacentral:hammerhead_ribozyme from 1 species